GGGAUUGCCCUAGUAACGGCGAGUGAAGCGGCAACAGCUCAAAUUUGAAAUCUGGCGCAAGCCCGAGUUGUAAUUUGUAGAGGAUGCUUCUGGUCAGCGGCCGGUCUAAGUUCCUUGGAACAGGACGUCAUAGAGGGUGAGAAUCCCGUAUGUGACCGGCGCGCAGCCUAUACGUAGCUCCUUCGACGAGUCGAGUUGUUUGGGAAUGCAGCUCUAAAUGGGAGGUAAAUUUCUUCUAAAGCUAAAUACCGGCCAGAGACCGAUAGCGCACAAGUAGAGUGAUCGAAAGAUGAAAAGCACUUUGGAAAGAGAGUUAAAAAGCACGUGAAAUUGUUGAAAGGGAAGCGCUUGCAACCAGACUUUGCGGCGGUGUUCCGCCGGUCUUCUGACCGGUCCACUCACCGUCGCGAGGCCAACAUCGUCUGGGGCCGCUGGAUAAGACCUAAGGAAUGUAGCUUCCCUCGGGAAGUGUUAUAGCCUGUGGUGAUGUAGCGUGCCCCGGGCGAGGUCCGCGCCUCGGCAAGGAUGUUGGCGUAAUGGUUGUCAGCGGCCCGUCUUGAAACACGGACCAAGGAGUCUAACAUCUAUGCGAGUGUUCGGGUGUCAAACCCCUACGCGUAAUGAAAGUGAACGGAGGUGGGAAGCGCAAGCUGCACCAUCGACCGAUCCUGAUGUCCUCGGAUGGAUUUGAGUAAGAGCAUAGCUGUUGGGACCCGAAAGAUGGUGAACUAUGCCUGAAUAGGGUGAAGCCCGAGGAAACUCUGGUGGAGGCUCGCAGCGGUUCUGACGUGCAAAUCGAUCGUCAAAUUUGGGUAUAGGGGCG
rnacentral:rRNA from 1 species